rnacentral:rRNA from 1 species
UUAUCCCUACGGGGGGCAGCAGUGAGGAAUAUUGGUCAAUGGACGAGAGGCUGAAGCAGCCAAGUAGCGUGAAGGAUGACUGCCCUAUGGGUUGUAAACUUCUUUUAUAUGGGAAUAAAGUUUUCCACGUGUGGAAUUUUGUAUGUACCAUAUGAAUAAGGAUCGGCUAACUCCGUGCCAGCAGCCGCGGUAAUACGGAGGACCCGUGCGUUAUCCGGAUUUAUUGGGUUUAAAG